AUAUUGGAUGUCAAGGGUAACCGGGAAUAAACAAGGUUAAACAGAAACUUCCAUCUAGGCUUUAAAUAGAGGGUUCUGCUUGGAUGAUAAUAUCAUUGAGCUUUGGAGUCCACCAGUGCUAAUUUCCACUUGUUUUGUUUUCUUAAACAAGUUCUAUUCAUUGGUGGUAAGCCACAGAAUCUUGUUACAUGUUCUCACGUAACCACUCGUACACUCUCACAAAGGUGCUUACACUGAAAACAGGUCGUCGACAUUCCCAAAUAAGAAGGGGUCAAGAUCAAAUCUUCAACUCUGUCAAGAUGCAACGAAUGAUGAUCUGCACGAGAUAACCGGAGAGAGACAGAGACAGAGAGAGAGACAGCGAAAAAUGCAUGCAUAGCUUUCGAAUUUAACAAAGGAAAGACAUCGAACCACACGUCUCGAGUGAACGUUCCAAGCAGAGCAAAAUCCCAGGGACACGCAGCACGUUUAUACCGUAAAUUCUGAGGAAAAGAGGGUCUGGUAUUCUUCCAUAUAUAAUCAGUAAGGAUGCCCUCUUCGAAUUUGAAGACAAGCUUAGAAAAUGCGGCUUUCUUUCUGCGAUUAUCAAAGAUCGGCUCGGGAAGACAAAGUAGGGAGCAGCAAUUUGCCAAAUUAUCUAGCUCAAGAUUCAACGAGUUGACAGAACUGUACAACGAGAACGCUCCGCGACACAACAAAGCAAAAAUUGACAAAGUAGCCCAUCUAUUGGUGCAGAUAUUACAAGUUCAAGAAGUCCAAACGGUUAAAGAGUAUACCAUGAACGGAUACACAUUUAAGGUGCACGUGCUAGAGGACACGGAGCUAUGACAUACGGAGAAUUCAUAGAGGCAUCAUCUUGCAACAAGGAAUUCAUUGCAUAGUUGUAUAUACGUUCGGGAGCUUUAACAACAAUGGCGAUUUGAAAUCAGGACAUUACACCGAUACCGGUGACAUUGAUGGCACUGAAAAGAAAAGGAGGAAGAUAAUGUUUACAGACAUGAUAUGAUAGCUAUUUGCGGUUUACAAUAGGUAGGGUAUUACAAGUCCUUUUUGGCCUUGCAGACAAGAUGAUUAGUGUCAAUGGAAACCCUGAAUUUUACUAAUAAUAAUAAUCUCUGGAAAUCUACUGACUUAACCACUUUAUAGCGCCACUUCUGGUUAUCAUCAGUCAAAAAAAUCUUCAACUGUUACAUAUUUACUCCCUGUAGUUGUGUUACAACGUCUCUUUAGUUCAAGAGAACUUUUAUCUACAACACAGCGGGGUUACUUCAGAAAAAAGAACAUAAGGCAGUGCUUAUGUCAAGAAAACAUUCGGGGUUGAGUGGAUUUUGUCUGUGGCAUGCCAAUGCACACCCUACGGAUGAUUUGUGUUUCAACUUUAACCUCCAUAAACAAGCUCUGUCCAUCUUAAGCUGUCGUAAGUAACAAACGGAGAACCUCUGCCAUCCAGAUAAUAACAAGCUUUAACUCUAUGAUAACUCGUACAUCUCGUUUCCACAGCUCGAUACUCUUUUAUUUUAAAAAAGGGAUUUUUGAGGAAAAGCUUAAAAGUGCUGCAUCAUUCUGGCAUUUCCUCUUAAGUGUAGAUACCUCCCCGACGAGAUAGGUCAGUUGGAUCAAAUUUUUUGAGAACUUGAGUGAAAAGUUUUCGUUUGAAUGUCAUCAAACUUUGUGAUUAAUAAUCCGUCAUUUCAAAGAUGCAAGUCACCCUAUCCAAAGACUUGUAGUCUUAAUAAUCGAUUGUUUUAUGUUAUUUUUUAUUUUUGAAAAACUUUCGAAAGGGUUUAGGGUCCUUAGAGCAAUCUAACAAGCCAUAUGGUGGAUCUUAAGAGUUGUCAGUUAUCAUUACGAUAUCACACGACGUCAUGGGUGACCCGUUCAUUAUAGUUCUUCACGCGAUGUACCGUAAACUGCCUUUCGUCAGAUGACUCGUCCCGGUUGACUUGGAAUGAGUCAGAUAUAUCAGAAACGGACCGACGAGAUCAGAUAUUGUAAAUCACUACGAUCGGCGUGAUUGGCCAAAGCUCUCUUGCACGGCGCGCUAAAAGUUAUGUUGUCUUUGUUGCUUGUUUUUCUUUAGAAACGCAUAUAUACAGAUUGUUUCUUGGACUCGCCAGCAACAGACCAGAUCAAGAGGUAACGGUAUACAUCGUACCAACUUUACAAGAGAUUCGACGAGUAUGGGAUUGUGUGCUCCUACUCACGAACACGAAAAUACCUUUACCAGUCGAGUGCUCUGAGUCAACGUUAUAAUUGUUCUUCAUCUACUUCUCUUGUCAUUUAUGGGAAACAAAAACAAAAUUUGCCUCGUGCCUGCUCGCUUUGUUACAGAUCACACUUGAUGAGACACCACUACAAAUUUAAUGUAAUAAGGUUUUAUAAUUGUAAUGCUCGCCUAGGACUCGUAUGUCUAUCUUCUUCGUCUAUUACAUUUGACGUCAUCUUCAAACACGGAAAAAUGGAUAAUCUUUAUGGGAAACGCACUCUGAUAAUCGGACGAACAAGAAGUGGAAAAGAAAAUGUGAACCACAAGAUAAUCAUUCUAAACAAGAGAUUAUAUUUUCUUUUUUUUUUUUUCUAAAUUAUUAAAUAGUUGAAUGUGACGGCGCUCAAUAUUCAAUGGAGAUGUUUUUGGGAUUUUAUAGAUAAUUACGUUUAGCUGGCACCUUGCACUGUCAUAGUAACACACAAGGUUGACAUUUUUCUUGACCUUUACCUCCGGACGAGUUAUAAGAGUAGAGAAAAAAAAAAAGGAAACAAAUAGGGAAUCAUUAGCAGAUCUAGUACCAAAUUCUCCGCAAUGACAUCAUGCGCAUCUUAUGGUAGACAUAAAGGAGAAUUUGGAAUGAUAUCUUGGGAGGGGGCGAGACAUAACAAGACGAAUACGAAAUGUUGGCAAUUUCAAUUGCCAGUAGGUCUUCUACACAAAACAUUUCCCAGAAUCGAAGGAUAUAUCAUCAUUGAGCGAAAAAUAUUUCUCGGAAUAGUGUAGAAUGCCCACCCUUUCUCAAGGGAGCUAGCGAUAUCAUUUAUCUUUCCCAACGAAGGAGGCAGAAAAAGAAAACAAGAAGAAGUUGUAGAGUAGAGACACGGUAAAGUGAAAACCCAGCUAACAAUAAGUAGGAUUGAGUUUAAAAUAAAGGAUUUUUCCCGAGA
rnacentral:lncRNA from 1 species